GCGUGAGGAACCUGCCUUUCAGUGGGGGACAACAGUUGGAAACGACUGCUAAUACCGCAUAACGUAUUUGUGUCGCAUGGCAUGGAUACCAAAGAUUUAUCGCUCUGAGAUGGACUCGCGUCUGAUUAGCUAGUUGGCGGGGUAACGGCCCACCAAGGCGACGAUCAGUAGCCGGACUGAGAGGUUGGCCGGCCACAUUGGGACUGAGACACGGCCCAGACUCCUACGGGAGGCAGCAGUGGGGAAUAUUGGGCAAUGGGCGCAAGCCUGACCCAGCAACGCCGCGUGAAGGAAGAAGGCUUUCGGGUUGUAAACUUCUUUUCUCAGGGACGAAGAAAGUGACGGUACCUGAGGAAUAAGCCACGGCUAACUACGUGCCAGCAGCCGCGGUAAUACGUAGGUGGCAAGCGUUAUCCGGAUUUACUGGGUGUAAAGGGCGUGUAGGCGGGAAAGCAAGUCAGAUGUGAAAACCACGGGCUCAACCUGUGGCCUGCAUUUGAAACUGUUUUUCUUGAGUACUGGAGAGGCAGACGGAAUUCCUAGUGUAGCGGUGAAAUGCGUAGAUAUACGGAGGAACACCAGUGGCGAAGGCGGAUUGCUGGACAGUAACUGACGCUGAGGUGCGAAAGCGUGGGUAGCAAACAGGAUUAGAUACCCUGGUAGUCCACGCUGUAAACGAUGGAUGCUAGGUGU
rnacentral:rRNA from 1 species